rnacentral:rRNA from 1 species
UACGGAGGGUGCAAGCGUUAUCCGGAUUCACUGGGUUUAAAGGGUGUGUAGGCGGGCUGUUAAGUCAGUGGUGAAAUCUCCGGGCUCAACCCGGGAACUGCCAUUGAUACUAUCAGUCUUGAAUCUUGUUGAGGUAGGCGGAAUAUAUCAUGUAGCGGUGAAAUGCUUAGAUAUGAUAUAGAACACCGAUUGCGAAGGCAGCUUACUAAACAAGCAUUGACGCUGAGGCACGAAAGCGUGGGGAUCAAACAGG